UGACACUAAUUUUAUUAGUGUUAGUAUAGUAUAUGAGUAGCUGCUCCUAAACCCUAUGAAUUCAUAUUGUGAUAAUUAAAAUCCUUACAGAGACGUAUCUUUCAACAACCUCACGGGAAUCUUCCUUUCUCAAUGGGCGCUCUGUCGAAGCUUUCUACCCUGUAAGUAUUCAUGGUUCUGAUAGCUCUCUUCUUGACUGGUAUGCAGUUAUAUGCAAAACAAUCAACUAUCAGGCACAUUUGAUGUCCUUAGCAACAUUAGCCUUGCGACACUGUAAGUAGCUUCCCAUGUAUCGAUAAGAUUGCUAAUUUUCCUUUUAUGUUGUGCUAUAUAGUUGUUGAUAUAUUUGUUAUGUUGUGGAAUAUGGUGUAAAAUAAAAAUAAAUAGCAUUUGUAAUGCUACUCAAAUUAACUUCCUAGAGGCUUAUUAAGCCGUAGGAAGUUAGCCAGCAAACUUUCUAGGGGCUACAGUAAGCCGUAGGAAGUUAUCCAGCUAACUUCCUAAAGGCUACAGUAAGCCGUAGGAAGUUAGCUAGCUGACGGCGCUGACGGCGUGAAGCUACUAACUUCCGAGAAUCUACUAACUUCCGAGAGGCUUAGCAAGCCGUAGAAAGUUAGCUAACUUCCUAGAGCCCUCUAGGAAGUUAAGCUAACUUCCGACAAAAAAUUUUCGAGAGCCAAACUUCCGACGGGAUGGCUUAACUUCCGAGAGUUUCGCUAACUUCCUAGAGUUUAGGCCUAACUUCCUAGGGUUUAGGCUCUAGGAAGUUUACUAUUUUGGUGUAGUGCCAGCAAUCUAGAUGUUUCAACUAUAUACCUAAUCAUUGACCAUUUCUAAAUGAAUGCACUUGCUAGAAAAUUAUUUGUUCCUCGUGUUUUUCUUCUCAUCCUGCCUAUUGGAAUCUCGCAGCUGAUCACUCUUAAAAAACUAACGGGUCCUGGUGUGAGUGGCAGAACUAUUGGAUAGGAUCGCCCUGAGGGCACUCAACAUCACCACUGUUGUACAAAAGUAGGCCAAUUGACAUAUACACUUUGUUCAUUUAUGUUGGUCGAUUCUACCCAGUUUAAAGAGAGACUAAAAUGUGGGCGUUGUUGCUUGUGUCCAUCCAUGCCACAAGCUGUAAUAUUUUCUUCUAAUAAGCUUUUAUACAUUACCUCUCUUGUUGACUGGUUGACCAUUUGUGCAGAGGCAACCCUUUCCAGUAGGGUCGCGCCCCUCUGGUAAGAGGGUCGCUGUUAAGUUGCCUGAUUAAUCCAUUCUUUCACUGUGUCUGCAUGUUGCAGUAGAUGCCAGCAGAUCAUGAAGCGCCCAAAUGGUGCUGGUACAGAUACAAAAUAUGCUCCUGCACAAGAUAUAUAUAUAUAUACAUAUUCACGUGAGUUUGUUCUUUCUUACAUCCAGAGCUACAGUACUAUCAGAAGCUGAAUAGAUUGCUGCUGGAAUUAGAGCAAAGGAGUGGAGGAGUUUCUGAAGAGAGCAGACCUGCAAAAUAACCGUCGUCAUGUCAGUGACAUGGCCGCUCAACUUCUUCCUCUUACUGCAUUGUAUCUGAACUGCGUCGACCUACCAACUACAUCACUGCACCGACUGCUAUACUGCAUCAACCAACCGAACGGCUAUAUGAAACGACACAAUGUCAGCCGUCAGAUAUGAAUAUUAACUUCAUAAAAGUAAUUGUAACUUGUGUAGGCUGGUUAUAGCUUGUGAUUUCACAUUUCAUUUGUUAGCGGCCAAGAUUUAUUUCUGUUAGUUUAUGACCACCACUCAGGAAAGUUGAUUGAUUCUCCAUUCCAAUCUUUGUUAGACCUGCAAGUUGUUUGCUAACAGUGAUCCUUCAGAGAAAUGGGGACAUGGGAACAAACAGAACCAGAAUGACUAAAGAAACAAUGGUUGCUUGAGGAGGAAUCGAUCGAAAGUACUACCACAUUCU
rnacentral:lncRNA from 7 species